GACGAACGCUGGCGGCGUGCUUAACACAUGCAAGUCGAACGGAAAGGCCCUGCUUUUGUGGGGUGCUCGAGUGGCGAACGGGGGAGUAACACGUGAGUAACCUGCCCUUGACUUUGGGAUAACUUCAGGGAACUCGGGCGAAUACCGGAUAGGAGCUCCUGCUGCAUGGGGGGGGUUGGAGAGUUGCGGCGUUUGGGGCUGGACUCGAGGCUUAUCAGCUGGUUGGUGUGGUAGGUGCUGACCAAGGCUUUGACGGGUAGCCGGCCUGAGAGGGUGACCGGCCACAUGGGGCCUGAGAUACGGCGCAGACUCCUACGGGAGGCAGCAGUGGGGAAUAUUGCACAAUGGGCGGAAGCCUGAUGUAGCAACGCCGCGUGCGGGAUGACGGCCUUCGGGUUGUAAACCGCUUUCGACGGUGACGAAGCGUGAGUGACGGUAAUGGGUAAAGAAGCACCGGCUAACUACGUG
rnacentral:rRNA from 1 species